rnacentral:rRNA from 1 species
AAUGAACGCUGGUGGCGUGCCUAACACAUGCAAGUCGAGCGGUAAGGCCCCUUCGGGGGUACACGAGCGGCGAACGGGUGAGUAACGCGUGGGUAACCUGCCUGGAAGUGGGGAAUAGCCUCGGGAAACCGGGGGUAAUACCGCAUAAGACCUACGGGUGGAAGACGGGGAUCUUCGGACCUGUCGCUUUCAGAUGGGCCCGCGUCCGAUUAGCUUGUUGGUGGGGUAAUGGCCCACCAAGGCUGCGAUCGGUAGCCGGCCUGAGAGGGUGAACGGCCACAUUGGGACUGAGACACGGCCCAGACUCCUACGGGAGGCAGCAGUGGGGAAUUUUGGGCAAUGGGGGAAACCCUGACCCAGCGACGCCACGUGGAGGAUGACGGCCUUCGGGUUGUAAACUCCUGUCAGGUGGGAAGAAAUCUCGGAGGUGAAUAGUCUUCGAGUCUGACUGUACCACCAAAGGAAGCCCCGGCUAACUCCGUGCCAGCAGCCGCGGUAAUACGGAGGGGGCAAGCGUUAUUCGGAAUUACUGGGCGUAAAGCGCACGUAGGCGGCAAGGCAAGUCGGAGGUGAAAGCCCUCGGCUCAACCGAGGAAUUGCCUCCGAAACUGCCUUGCUUGAGUCCGGGAGGGGGGAGCAGAAUUCCCAGUGUAGCGGUGAAAUGCGUAGAUACUGGGAGGAAUACCGGUGGCGAAGGCGGCUCCCUGGACCGGUACUGACGCUGAGGUGCGAAAGCGUGGGUAGCAAACAGGAUUAGAUACCCUGGUAGUCCACGCCGUANACGAUGGGCACUAGGUGCAGCGGGUGUCGACCCCUGCUGUGCCGAAGUUA